GGUGAAGAUAGUCACGUGACUCGCUGACGUCACACAGCGUCACCCUGAAGAAAACGCAGAAUAAUAACAGCCGGUUUUUAAAUAUAUAAUAUAUAAUGUAAGUUAGUUUUUGAUGACAGACGUGAAGUUCAUCGAGUGAUUCCUCCGUCACCAGAACACACGCUCGUCUGAGGCCUCGGGAGUUUCUCUCAGCUGCUGAUCUUGGUGAGCAUCUUGUUGAUGGCCUGUUUGACGUGUGUGGUUGAGCUGCGUCUGCGGGUCUUGCCCUGGACGGCCCGCCGGCGCCGGAUCUCUCGCAGGAGCUCGUGAAACGCCUCAGCCACGCCUCCGCCCGACCCGACCCGGUCCGCACACGCAGAACACUCGUAGAACGCACACGCCAUGUCGGCCGCCAGCCGCUCGCCCUCCUCCGUGGCCACCUGCCGCCCCAGGUCCAGGUCCGCCUUGUUCCCCAGCAGCACCAGAGGCACGUGUUUGGGCCGCUUCACCUCGUCCAGGAGCCCUGCGGACGACACGCGUUAAACGCGCAGUGUGUGGUGUGUAGCGCAUCUAGUGUGGGCGGAGUCACACAGACCAGAGCGCUGUUCUGGGAACUGAAAGUGUGGAGGAGAAAGGGCGUCGUGCGUCACCUUUAAGAGGAGCCACGUCCUCGAAGCUCCCGCGGUCCG